rnacentral:misc_RNA from 1 species
AAGUCGUAACAAGGUCUCCGUUGGUGAACCAGCGGAGGGAUCAUUACAGAGUUGCAAAACUCCCACAAACCAUCGCGAAUCUUACCCGUACGGUUGCCUCGGCGCUGGCGGUCCGGAAGGCCCUCGUGGCCCCCGGACCCUCGGGUCUCCCGCUCGCGGGAGGCUGCCCGCCGGAGUGCCGAAACCAAACUCUUGAUAUUUUAUGUCUCUCUGAGUAAACUUUUAAAUAAGUCAAAACUUUCAACAACGGAUCUCUUGGUUCUG